rnacentral:lncRNA from 1 species
AGAGGUUCUUCAUGGAAAAAUUUGCCUCUCCUAAGAGGGUAGAAAGCCAAAGUCAAAAUUCCAAACUUAAAAGUUCCAAACAUAACUCAUAUGUUUUCUCUAAGGAGCGAAAAGAACCCUAAUAAUUAUAACCAUGUCUUUAACGGAACCUCCGCCGAGGCACACCAUCGUAGCUCGACCUCCUGUUUCCCGAAGUUUCGAUUCCUUCAAUUGAAUCCGAAAUUCCGAACAUCUCGGACUUCGAAGUUCCGUCAACUGAAUCCGAAAUUCCGAACAUCCCAGACUUCGAAUACGAUUGAAGCUCCCGCCCUCAUUUCCCUCUGAUUCAGACUACGAACCAGUAAUCUGCCAGUCAAUAACCCCAUGAAAGAGAGAGCCACUAGAUAAUCCCCUAGAGAGAGAGAGAGAGAGAGAGAGAGAGAGAGAGAGAUAUAUUGUAGAGAGAGAAGAAGAGAGAGAGAGAGAGAGAGAGGAGGAGUGGAGGAGGAGUGUGUACGACGACGACGACCUACCUCUACCUCCUCNNNNNNNNNNNNNNNNNNNNAACGUAACGUAACGUAACUACGUAACGUACGAACGUAACGAACGUAACGUAACGUAACGUAACGAACGAACGACGACGUACGUACGUAACGUACGUACGACGAGAGAGAGAGAGAGAGAGAGAGAGAGAGGAGAGGAGAUAAUUUCUUGAGAGAGAGAAAAUGAAGGAUGAAGA